rnacentral:rRNA from 1 species
UAUUAAAGGCAACGCCUGCCCGGUGAAUAAUUAAACGGCCGCGGUACCCUAACCGUGCAAAGGUAGCGUAAUCACUUGUCUAUUAAUUGUAGACCCGUAUGAAAGGCAUAAUGAGGGUCUGACUGUCUCUUUUAGUAAGUCAAUUAAACUGAUCUCCUAGUACAAAAGCUAGAAUACCAACAUAAGACCAGAAGACCCUGUGAAACUUUAACCAAACUAUCAGAACCCAUGAUAACUACUUUAGGUUGGGGCGACCUUGGAAAAAAAAGAACUUCCAAACACACAUAUAUACAUAUAUACAAUAUACUACCAGGCUAACAAGCCCACAACGACCCAGCACAGCUGACAAUUGAACCAAGCUACUCCAGGGAUAACAGCGCUAUCUUCUUCAAGAGCCCAUAUCAAAAAGAAGGUUUACGACCUCGAUGUUGGAUCAGGACAUCCUAACGGUGCAACCGCUAUUAAGGGUUCGUUUG